UACGAAGGGGGCUAGCGUUGCUCGGAAUUACUGGGCGUAAAGCGCACGUAGGCGGCUUUUUAAGUCGGGGGUGAAAUCCUGGAGCUCAACUCCAGAACUGCCUUCGAUACUGGAAGCUCGAGUCCGGGAGAGGUGAGUGGAACUGCGAGUGUAGAGGUGAAAUUCGUAGAUAUUCGCAAGAACACCAGUGGCGAAGGCGGCUCACUGGCCCGGUACUGACGCUGAGGAG
rnacentral:rRNA from 1 species